rnacentral:lncRNA from 1 species
AUGUUCAUUAAAUGUAUUUUUAUUGUUUAUCGUAUUAAUAUGGUUAUAAUUUUUGUCUUUGUUUACAUAACUAUUACUACUUACAUUAUAGUUACUUACAUUAUUACUACUUACAUUAUUACUACUUACAUUAUUACUACUUNNNNNNNNNNCAUUAUUACUACUUACAUUAUUACUACUUACAUUAUUACUACUUACACUAUUACUACUUACAUUAAUUAAUUUAUCGUAUUUAUUUUUAGUCAUGUUUUUUAUAGAUGUACUAUCAUCAUUAUAUGUUUGUUCAAUUUGCAUAUUUUCAAAAUCGUACGUUUUUUUAUUAUUUAUAUUGUUAUAUAUAAUAUUAUUAUUAUUGUUAUUAUUAUUGUUAUUAUUAUUGUUAUUAUUGUUAAUAUUUUUUUUAUUUACAAUAGAACUUGCAUUAUUAUUGUCAUCAAUACAAAUAGGAUAAUUUUUAUUAUUAUUAUUAUUCAUUGGUGAAUUAAUAAAAGAAUGUGAUUUUUUAUUUUUUUGUUUUUU